rnacentral:rRNA from 1 species
UACGGGGGGAGCAAGCGUUUGUUCGGAUUUACUGGGCGUAAAGCGCGUGUAGGCGGCUCGAUAAGUCUGCUGUGAAAGUCCAAGGCUCAACCUUGGGAUGCGGGGUGGAUACUGCCGGGCUCGAGUCCGGAAGAGGCGAGUGGAAUUCCUGGUGUAGCGGUGAAAUGCGCAGAUAUCAGGAGGAACACCAAUGGCGAAGGCAGCUCGCUGGGACGUGACUGACGCUGAGACGCGAAAGCGUGGGGAGCAAACAGG